CAGUCGCCACGGUAAUACGAAGGGUGCAAGCGCUACUCGGAAUUACUGGGCGUAAAGCGUGCGUAGGUGGUGGUUUAAGUCCGUUGUGAAAGCCCUGGGCUCAACCUGGGAAUUGCAGUGGAUACUGGGUCACUAGAGUGUGGUAGAGGAUAGUGGAAUUUCCGGUGUAGCAGUGAAAUGCGUAGAGAUCGGAAGGAACAUCUGUGGCGAAGGCGACUAUCUGGGCCAACACUGACACUGAGGCACGAAAGCGUGGGGAGCAAACAGGAUUAGAUACCCGUGUAGUCCCUGUCUCUUAUAA
rnacentral:rRNA from 1 species